CUGCUUUGCUGACGAGUGGCGGACGGGUGAGUAAUGUCUGGGAAACUGCCUGAUGGAGGGGGAUAACUACUGGAAACGGUAGCUAAUACCGCAUAACGUCGCAAGACCAAAGAGGGGGACCUUCGGGCCUCUUGCCAUCGGAUGUGCCCAGAUGGGAUUAGCUAGUAGGUGGGGUAAAGGCUCACCUAGGCGACGAUCCCUAGCUGGUCUGAGAGGAUGACCAGCCACACUGGAACUGAGACACGGUCCAGACUCCUACGGGAGGCAGCAGUGGGGAAUAUUGCACAAUGGGCGCAAGCCUGAUGCAGCCAUGCCGCGUGUAUGAAGAAGGCCUUCGGGUUGUAAAGUACUUUCAGCGGGGAGGAAGGGAGUAAAGUUAAUACCUUUGCUCAUUGACGUUACCCGCAGAAGAAGCACCGGCUAACUCCGUGCCAGCAGCCGCGGUAAUACGGAGGGUGCAAGCGUUAAUCGGAAUUACUGGGCGUAAAGCGCACGCAGGCGGUUUGUUAAGUCAGAUGUGAAAUCCCCGGGCUCAACCUGGGAACUGCAUCUGAUACUGGCAAGCUUGAGUCUCGUAGAGGGGGGUAGAAUUCCAGGUGUAGCGGUGAAAUGCGUAGAGAUCUGGAGGAAUACCGGUGGCGAAGGCGGCCCCCUGGACGAAGACUGACGCUCAGGUGCG
rnacentral:rRNA from 1 species